CGGCCCAAGGUAUUAUUUUUAAUUUAUUGAAAAUGGACACUGAUGAUAGGGUUCAAGAAGCUAGAAUUAUGAUUAUUCCAUAAUUUUUUUAAACCAACUAAUUUCUUUCCUGUGGACACAACACCUAGAUAAUUGCCUAUAUUUCUCCAACUUGAUUGAUAUCUUACCCACUGAAUAAAACAAAUUUCAAUUAAAUGUGUUAAUUUUUAUAAAUAUGAUUUUACAUUAUAUUUUGAAUCUUCAGUAGUAAAUUUAAUAUAAUACAUAAAGUCAUCUCUGAAAUUAAGUCAAUGAGGGAAAUUUAAAAGAAAAGGAAAAGAUGCAACCUAAUGUCUUCAGGGAAAUUUUCAUAAAAUUCUUUGCAUAACCCUCUGACCAUAGUCAAAGAUUUGUUAAUCACCCCUGUGGGGCACCACUCCCCAAGGUCUAAACCACAUCAACCUAGUAGCCUUUAGAGUCGAACAUAAAUACUUCCCUACUACACGGUAACGAUUCUUGGCGUACAUAGACCAACAUGGGUAUGGUUGCUUAGACGAAAACAAUCUACCUACAAAUGUGUCUAACAAGAGGACAUACUCAAAGACUACAAAUAUCCUAUCAGAAUACAUCUAACAAAACCUAAUUCAUUAACUCUUCCACCAGUCCCACAUCCAGUUUUUCUCUAACAUCCUCAUCAGAUAGAGACUUCUAUUAAAUCUUGCAAAUGUGAUUUAAAUGCAAAUGUGAUUAUAGUGUUAGUAUAAGAAACUGGUGGCUAAUCCAAUAUGUCAUGGACACAGCAACUUGCCAAACAAGAUUUUUUCUGAAUUAUCAAUGAAAUUUAGGAUCAUCAUAAUGGGAACAUGGGAACAUUUGGACUACAGGAGAGCCCGACAGCUGUGAAUUCCUGUCUCCUGAAAAUAUAAGUAUGCUCUAAUAUUUUUGUCUUCUGAAAAAAGAAAAAGAGCCAGUGCCUGGAUGUUACAAAGAGGUAUCUUUGAGGUCAACAUAAGAGUCGAAAUGAGGUAAUAGUUUUAACUAUACAGUUCCAAAGCAACCAGAGGAUCCACUCAUGCAAUUGGCAAAUUCCCUGGGGGAAAACAACUCACUGACUGUUUAAUGAACUGCUUUUUGUAUGACUCACCUGCCUUGCCAAUUUUGCUGACUGGCCAGGUGAGUAGGAACUAACAGAUUGUUGGUAUAUGUAUGUGGUGACCAAAUGGUUCUAGAAUUAGUUCAAUUUUUGACUCUGCAACAAUUCAACAAGUCUAUUUAGAUAGUGUAAUAGCAGUCAUGAAAGGUAUUCAAAGAAACAUGGCCUCUGUACAUGUAAAUAAAGGUUAAUAAUAAGAAAUAUUAUUUUUUUCCUGGCACAAAAAAACACAUGCACAAAAAUGGACAGUGCAGUAGGGAACAUCAAAAUUGAUACGGGAAAACAGUGAAUGCAAUGUUGAAGAGAAAAAAAAUAGGAGAGUAGGUUGGUGGUGAUAGAGAUUAUGAUUAUGAUUAUGAUUAUAAUGGUUGGAGGCAGACGUUUGGAAGUGAAUCUAGAAAAUUAUUCUACUACCAAAUGGUGGAGCUUAUCCAAAGAAAAUAUGUCAUUUAACAUUUUACCUCAAGCUUAAUUCCUUUGAUAAGGGAAAGAUUUGUCAUGAUCAAGCGAUGCUUAUGUCAUAGUUUCAAGGAGGAAUAAGCCCUCAAAACAUAACCCACUCAAAAUUACUUAAUUAACUUUGUGGAUUUAUUAUGUAAUCAAAAUACAUAGAACCAGGGGGCCAUAGGACAUUAAGGCUUUUCAAUGAUUUACAAUUCAGUGUAAUUGGGUUUAACAUGUUAUUUUCAGAACCACUCUGGAUAUGAUUAAAUACGAAGAGACUUUGGGCACUGAACACAGGGGAAAUGUUAAAAGAGAUGUUCCAAGUGGGAGAAAGCAUGUAAGUAAGUUUUAGAUACCCUGACAGACUCCAGAGAUUUUCAGUUCUACCUAAG